AAUGAACGCUGGCGGCGCGCCUAAUACAUGCAAGUCGAGCGAGAAGACGUAGCAAUACGUUUGUAAAGCGGCGAACGGGUGAGGAAUACAUGGGUAACCUAUCCUCGAGUGGGGAAUAACUAGCCGAAAGGUUAGCUAAUACCGCGUACGCUCCUUGGACUUCGGUUCAGGGAGGAAAGCGAUACCGUGGGUAUCGCGCUCUUGGUUGGGCUCAUGUCCUAUCAGCUUGUUGGGAGGUACGGCUCACCAAGGCUUCGACGGGUAGCUGGUCUGAGAGGACGAUCAGCCACACUGGCACUGCGAC
rnacentral:rRNA from 1 species